GGUUCAGCCUAGUUGUCUCCUACAAGUGGAAAGCUAACUGGACAUCUGAAUGCAGAGUGCCAAUUUCCUUCUGCAGCCAAGCGUGCUUCAUUUCAAGCUUUCUAUUUAUGGACCAUAUACUUACCUCAGCUGAAAUCUGAAACAGUUUUUUGUGUGGGAGAUGACACUUUUAAUCGCUGCAAACAGAUUUAUAUAGUUCAACUGAGCAUGCUUUGAAACUGUUGGCAAGAAAUGCCUCAGGCUAACAAGGACACAACACUUCUCUUUAAGGAAGAAAAACUGAAAGGAGCUGAAUUGGAGUCCCAAGUCCAACAAUUCAUCAUAAGCUACACGCCUUUUUCAUUUUUGCUAUGGAAAAUCAAAGCCCAGCUAGAAAAAGAAAUGACUGUAUAUCUAAAGCCGCUGGAUUUGGAGGGAAAUGAAGAAUACUUAUUGGAUUUUCUGUCUCAGGUAUCAUAAUAGCCUGGUUGCUUUGUGAACUAUGCAAUUGUUUCAAGUGAGGGCAUUUGUUACUACACUUCAAGGACUGCUAUGAGUAAACAGCUGCAAUUGCAUUGCUACAAAAAAUUGCACCAAAUGGUAGAAAUGCAAUUUCUAUGCUGCUUAAAGAGCCUGCCUUAUCUUUAUUUAUUUAUUUUAUUUAUUUGUCACAACAGUAUAUAUAAGCAUAAGCAUGAAAUAACUAUACAAUAUAUAAGCAUAUAUAUAAGCAUAAGCAUGAAAUAACUAUACAAAUUGGAUACAAUCAAAGGGAACAUUAGGACAGGAAUGGUAGGCAUGCUGGUGCUCUUAUGUGUGUCCCUUACAGACCUCUUAGGAAUGGGGUGAGGUCAAUAGUAGAUAGUCUUUGGUUAAAGCUUUGGGGAUUAAGCUUAAAUCUAUUGUGUGCUCGUGUAUUGUUGCGAUUGAAGCUGAAGUAGUCUUCAACAGGAAGGACAUUGUAACAGAUGAUUCUAUGAGUUACACUCAGAUCAUGUCGAAGGCGGCGUAGUUCUAAAUUUUCUAAACCCAGGAUUUCAAGUCUGGUGGCAUAAGGUAUUUUGUUGUAAUCAGAGGAAUGGAGAACUCUUCUUGUAAAAUAUUUCUGGACACGCUCAAUUGUAUUUAUGUCAGAAAUGAGGUGUGGGUUCCAGACAGGCGAGCUGUAUUCAAGAAUUGGUCUAGCAAAUGUUUUAUAUGCUCUGGUUAGAUGUUUCUGGAGAAGAAGCUACGCAAGAUUAAGUUUACAACUCUUAAAGCCUUUUUUGCGAUGUAGUUGCAGUGGGCUUUGGCACUUAGAUCAUUUGAUAUGAAAACUCCAAGGUCUUUAACAGGAGAAUGGGGUUCAUCUACAAGGUAAUGUCCAUCGAGUUUGUAUUUAGUGUUCUGAUUCUUUUUUCCAAUGUGUAAGACAGAGCAUUUGCUGGUUGAGAUUUGGAGUUGCCAGAUUUUUGACCAUUCCGACACAAAGUCAAGGUCUUUUUGAAGGGUAGCCAUAUUGUUGGUAGUGUUAAAUAGUUUAACAUCAUCAGUGAAGAGAACAAAAUUACUUAUAAUAUGGUCACAGAGGUCAUUAAUGUAUAAUAUGAAGAGUGUUGGUCCUAGAAUGCUGCCAUCUUGAUGGCAAAGGCAAUUAUCCUCCAGAGCUGAAGAUAGAGAAUAGAUGUGGUUCCAAUCUCCCUAGUUUGUGUGUGUGUGUUUGUGAUUAGUAUAAAAUGGUUAAGGGUUACAUAAUAUUGUGUCACCUCAAGACUUAUAAUUGUGAAUGCUUGCAUUCUAAAGUGCUGUGAAAUAUUCUUUAAAUUCACAGCAUUCUGAAACACCUGGCUUUUGGGAAGAGAAUAUCUAUUAAACCACUUCCAUGACACUUGGAAUGUCUGCUUCCACUCUUGUCAUAAUUUCAUCAUACUGAAAUUCCAAAAUUAAUAAUAAGAUGUCUGUUAUAAUUAAUGGCAAUCUGCUUCCUCAUCUAGUAACUCUGCCCCAUCUCUUUGCAAUUAAUUUGUGCAGUUGGUUAAUUAGCACUCUGGACAUAUCUAGUUCCUCUAUUCCAAUCACUCUGAUAGACAUAUUUACAUCCAAGCCUAGAUUGCUUUAUCUGUAGUAUAUGCUGAGGAUAGCAGCAAAAGCAGAUGUAAUCAGUUGUUGACCUGCAGGUGAAAAAAUAUGGAACAAACUCUCCUCUACUAGCCUCUUGUUAGGACAGACUCUUCCAAGUGGAGUAAAGCAUAAUAUGUGGUGGUUUUAUCUCGUUUCCAGUUUUCUCAUUACGGUACCCCAUUAGUGUUAUUUUCAUACCCUUAGUAUUCUAACAGCAGCAUAAAAUUAAGAAUUAGAAUUUCAAGAGUACCAUUAUUGGAAGAGAAAAAACACAUAAAGAAUCUUAUAUAAAUUAACCAUUUCACUGGGAUUUUUAUUACUUAAUAUCUAAGGAUGCCUACCUGUUGACAUCUCCAAGUAGCUUAUACAAGAAUAAAAUAGUAAAAUGUCAAAUAUUAAACAGUAACUUUGCUGGAAAGAAAUAUAGGAGACAUACUUCAGCAUCUUAUUGUAUCACACACAACUCAGCCUGUGAGACAGAAGGUUUUACCGUAUUUUUCAGUGUAUAAGAUGCACUCUCCCCAAAAAAAGUGGGUGGAAAUGUCUGUGCAUCUUAUACAGCUAAUGUUGCCGAAGCCCCGCCUACCCAUCAGCCC